GCCAUUUUAUUUUACACGAGGCAGCUGUCGGAGAGCAACGGGAUGAGCAACAGUCUGAGUGAAAACCUUCACAUUUCUACUUCGAUCUUAAGAAAGCCAUACAGGUUUGGAACCAAGUGAAAACGCAGUGAUGACCAGCUUUCCAUCAGCUAUGGAAUGUGAAAUAAAAAAUGCUAUUUCUAAUCAUUUCAAACAAGCACCAGGGAGGGCAGGGGGUGGGGGUUAUGGAUCUAAAGUAAACAGUUAAUUCUUAAAAAUUAAUUGUUUUACAUAUUUCUCCAAUGUUUUAUUUGUUCAUUUUUAUGUUUGAAUGUUGUCCAAGUUGUUGUUGUCUAUAUAAUUGUUCAAAAUAAAUCCCUUUAUAUUCAAUUAGUUUGGAUGGAUUUUAAUUUAUGAGAACCUGUUAUAUUUGAGUGAAAAGAAUCCUUAUGCCUCUUUUUGUUGUCUAUUACAUGUAUAUGUAGUGUAAUGGAUGACUAGUCUAUUCUUGGGCUAUGGUU